rnacentral:rRNA from 1 species
GUCUACGGCCAUACCACCCUGAACGUGCCCGAUCUCGUCUGAUCUCGGAAGCUAAGCAGGGUCGGGCCUGGUUAGUAGAUGGAUGGGAGGAUUGAAUAGGAAAAUGAAGUGAUCCCUGUAGUCC